GAGUGAGAGUCUAUAGUCUCGUUUGAUUACUCUUCUUGGUAACUUACUGACUUAGGUGACUCUACCAGGAGACGAAUCACUCGCCGAUAUUACUUUCAGAAUCUGUGAAAAACACGCAAACGAAUUCAUUCAGGUUAAGACCGACUGUAAACACAGACACACACGGGAGACGCUGGUUCUUUCAGUUAAGUUUCCCCGUCAUCGUCGACAGCUGUAUACUUUCCUAACCGCCAGACUGACAUAGAUCUAAAAGUAUAUUAUAUGACAAUAUAACCUACGUAGAACAAGCAGACAACACUAUCAGUCGUGUCAGCAUAUCGAAAAUUCAGAUUAAACAACUGCGGCGAGAGAUUGUUACUCAGUAAUAGAUUUACGUCAGAUUUUUACCGAUAAAAACCCAACAGGCAAGACUACAAAGGUCAGCAGGCCAAUAUUCCAUCUAUUAUAAACCAGACGACGCUAUAACAACAAACGUAUUCGAAUUUAUCAAAAAUUUCUUAUACAUUUUAAUGGACUAAAACAUCUUAUUCUAUGGUAAUGACGAGCCCGGUGUCAGCGAUUGCAAUUAUGAGGCAUUUCAAGCAGCUGAUGUCAGGUAAGCA
rnacentral:lncRNA from 1 species